UACGAAGGGUGCAAACGUUGCUCGGAAUUAUUGGGCGUAAAGCGCACGUAGGCGGCUCUGAAAGUCGGAUGUGAAAGCCCUCGGCUCAACCAAGGAAGUGCAUCCGAAACUGCAGAGCUUGAGUACUUAAGAGGAUCGCGGAAUUCCCGGUGUAGAGGUGAAAUUCGUAGAUAUCGGGAGGAACACCAGUGGCGAAGGCGGCGAUCUGGGAAGAUACUGACGCUGAGACGCGAAAGCGUGGGGAGCAAACAGG
rnacentral:rRNA from 1 species